GGGGAGAGGGAGGGACCCUAGAUAUCAGAGCUUGAGAUUGACUGUAGCCUCCCGAACAGUGGUUUUAAAGCUGUCCUGUGAAUGGGUGUUCCCCUGGGGGUUGUCAGCAGUUUAGACUUGUGAAGCCUCACCACCCUGCCAAAGACCUUGACCUGACCUUCAUCAAAGCUGCUGCAGGUCCAUCAGCUUCGUUCCCCUGGAACUAAAGAGCCUUGUAAGAACUUCAUGAGGACCAUUCAUCCAGGGAGUCCUCAACCUCAGUUCUCACAGACAGAAGAUGGAGAUCUGAGAGGCUUACAGGAGAAAAAGUUAAGGAGCCUGUCAAGAAGAGGAUGGACAGACCAAAGAAAACAGCCCACGGCAGCAGACACCUGAGAUACAGGGCUGUUCGAGACUGGGGCAGAACAUGGCUUUCCUCAUUGGACCCUGAGACAAGGAGAUGCCCUCUGGCCCCAGAGAGCACCCCAGCUGAGCCCACGUGGUGCAGAAGUCCCCAGGAGGCUGACCAGGGAAACCCGUGGACCAUCUCACCUCCACAGAGUGACUUUUCCUGUUAACUCCCAGACUCCAGGCCAACUGGAACCUGGCUCAUUAGCGCCGUGCAACCAAACAGCAGCUGGGGAGGAGGUCUCUCUGGUACAUGAUUUUCUUUCUCUCUCAGCCACAGAACUUCCUCCAAGGAACAGGCACUCAACCUUCCGUUCUCAGAAGCGAAAACAAGCCGAGUCACACAUUUCUAUGAAUUCGCUCAGAAAGCCAAUGAUCAGUAAUAACACUAAACACGAGCGUCAGACUCAUCACAGAUCUCACCUGGAAGGGAGCCUCCCGGGGAAGAGGGGAGCUCCCGUCUCAGCUAAGUCACCAUCUCAGUGGGGACAAGGAAGAGGAGGGGGUCAUUCAUCUCUUGCAAAGAGUAUAGACCAGGGCUCAGGAAGGUCAUGGUCUUCUCCCAGCCCCACCGCCCCGCUGUGGCUCAGGCAGGGCUUGCUCUGUGAAUGGGAAACUGAAAGCUCUGGGCCAGAGGGUUCUUAGCUGUCAUGAUAGGUCCCAGGUUGGUGGAUGACCGAUUGAAAUAAAGUGUUUCUACAAUGGGAGUGGUACCUCCA
rnacentral:lncRNA from 1 species